rnacentral:rRNA from 1 species
UACGGAGGGGGCGAGCGUUAUUCGGAAUUACUGGGCGUAAAGGGCGCGUAGGCGGCCUGUUAAGUCGAACGUGAAAUCCCCGGGCUCAACCCGGGAACUGCGUCCGAUACUGGCAGGCUUGAAUUCGGGAGAGGGAUGUGGAAUUCCAGGUGUAGCGGUGAAAUGCGUAGAUAUCUGGAGGAACACCGGUGGCGAAGGCGGCAUCCUGGACCGAGUAUUGACGCUGAUGCGCGAAA